UAGGAAAUUUGCUCACCAAUGAAAAUUUUGUGUGAAAUCGCCAAGGAAAUCAGCUACUCGAAUCAUUGAGGAAUAGCAUGCAAUGAAAUCCUUACUGAAAGGCAUUGCGUUUUUCCUAUGAUUAUACAAUCCACCCUAUCUUUUUCCUUGUAAAAUAUUUCAUUCCCGAUAUGAAGCACGAGAUGGGUGUUUUGUUUUUGUUUAUAUUUGCCUUUUUCUUCUCUACCUGCCACUGAAUAAUACGGAGAUUGGCUUCAGUUUUAGAAUUUCAAUGCUCGGGUUUUUUACAUACAAUAAAAAAUUGCCGUUCCCGUUCGUCAGCCUGGUUUGCUUCGAGAAACAAAGUUAUUUCCAACAACAACAACCGACGGUGAUGGCGACGCAUGGUUGAAGGAUUGCAAUGUUCGGGUUUUUUACAUAUCAUAAAACUUCGAUUCGCGAUCCUCAGCCUGGUUUGCUUAGAACCAAAGUUAUUUCCAAAAACAACGCACAGUGUUCGGGGUAAGUGAUUUGUUUUGAAAGCAUUGUUGUUUUUUCGAGAAACUGUUUUUCAGUUGAAUUCCAUUGUUCAUAGUGUCAACAAGUGAGUAAAGCUUAAAAUUAUUAAAAAGAGUUUAUAAAAUAAAUUAUAAGCGUAAAAAAGUGAAUAUUUAGGUAAAUUGGUAGGUAAUUGUGUUCAAAUGGACAAGGAAAAUAUUCAGGCUUCCGGAUCUAAACAGUCGGCAAUGGACUCCAUUGAAUUUUUUCCCACAAAGCAGCCAAGGCGAAUUUUUAAGAAAACGAAUCAACAAGAUAUGAUAGACGAAAUGAGAGCGGACACUAAACGUUUGUGUGUCACCACGGAGCACCUAAAAAAUGGGAUCUGCACAUUGGCAGCAUUUUUUUUCAAUAAAAUCAUAAAAAUUUACAUGACUGUUUUUUUUUUAAAUAUUUGUAUCGAAAGAUUUAGGUAUGAGUAAAAAAUAAUUCCAUAAUAAAAACAUGAUUGACUUCAUUUAUGCACAUUCACGAAAUUUUUCACCAGGUCAAUUUGCAUUAGUGAAUGAGUUACAUUGGCUUCCCUAAGGAAACCACUGGUCAAUAUUCAUUUAUGAAAAAGGCGUUCAAUUUUGCAAAGUGAAUUCCUUGGUGAACAUUCAUCUCAUUUUUCACCAAUGUAAAGUACACAAGUAUAUCAGCAACUCCACUAACCCAGUGAUUUCCCCGGUGUGAAUUCGCGGUAUUUUUCAUCAACUACAAUUCACUUUGGAAUACACCAAAUGAACUUGCUUGGUGAUUUCCUCACUGAACAGUCACCAUGAAAUUCACAACUUGGUGAACGCCAAUCCAAUCCCCAUGUUAAUUUCACUGAUGUUUUCACCAUGUUUUCAUGGGGUGUAGCUUCCAUUCACCAAGGAAUAAGUUGGUGAUUCACCGAUGAAUUUUUUGAAAUU